rnacentral:rRNA from 1 species
UACGGAGGGUGCGAGCGUUGUCCGGAAUCACUGGGCGUAAAGGGCGCGUAGGCGGUGCGGUAAGUCACCUGUGAAACCUCUAGGCUUAACCUAGAGCCUGCAGGCGAAACUGCCGUGCUUGAGGGUGGGAGAGGUGGCGUGGAAUUCCCGGUGUAGCGGUGAAAUGCGCAGAUAUCGGGAGGAACACCAAUGGCGAAGGCAGCUUGCUGGGACGGUACUGACGCUGAGGCGCGAAAGCGUGGGGAGCAAACAGG